rnacentral:ncRNA from 1 species
CUACCACAUUAGGGGUGCCUGUAAAUAAGGCUGAGAGGAAUAUUCCAACCCUUUGAACCUGAUCUCACUUGUAUGAGCGGAGGAAAAUGUGUCUAUCAUUAU